UAUUAUCCCUUAAAUGAGUACAGUUUUAUGGGACUGAAGGUCAUUACUCUGAAGCACAGCGUUGUUCAUCUGUAAAAAGGAUAAACUGUCCUCUCCCAACAGAAAUGGAUGCAUUGUUGAUUUUUAUUGAGAAUGUGUUUCCAAACCCUAUAACUUCAAAGCUAGCCAUAGAGGGUUUGAACAGCCUACUGUAGGUGUGGAGACCAUAGAUGACCUACAGUUUUUGAAAGAUGAUGAUCUAGGUGGCUUUCUGAGACUGAUUGAAGCAAGAAAACUAAUAGCCCAAAUCCCAAAUAUUGCCUCCACUCUGCAAAACACUGCCAAUGAUUUGUCUGCUGAAUACAGUUCUGAUGCAUCAGGUUCACCUGCUCCUGGAUGCUCAGUUUCACCAUCCAGCUCUUCAAGUGGAAGACGUGACAGUAGCUGUGAAACUUUGUUUUAUGACCAUGACUGGCAUUAUAGUUUUGAUGUUCCAUGGCAAAAAAUGCCAGCAAGUUUUAUGGAAAAGUUGCGAAAGGCCAAGUUGCUCUGAGAGAAGACAGUUGGUCCGCAUUGUUGCUUCUGAGAUCCUGGAAGUCAGCAAAUGUCCAGCAAAAAAACAUGUAUCAGAAAUAGCCCGACAAAUGGUGAUUGCAUACCCAAAGUCUUUCAGAGAUGAGAUUAAUUCCCAGGUUGUAGGAAGUGGAUAUGAUUCUCUCCUCAAACAACUGGUGUGUAGAAUUGACAAUUUGAAAAGAGCAAAAGCUAUUAGU
ensembl:lncRNA